rnacentral:rRNA from 1 species
AUAUCAGUCAUGCAUAGCAUAUCAAUAAGCGGAGGAAAAGAAACUAACAAGGAUUCCCUUAGUAACGGCGAGUGAAGCGGGAAGAGCUCAAAUUUGAAAUCUUCAAGGUUUUACCUUGACGAAUUGUAGUUUAAAGAAGUGUUUUCUGUUGAAGUUUCUGGUAAAAGUUCUUUGGAAUAGGACAUCAUAGAGGGUGAGAAUCCCGUAUUUGACCAUUACUUUCAGCUUUGUGAUACACUUUCAAAGAGUCGGAUUGUUUGGGAAUGCAGUCCAAAAUGGGUGGUAUAUUUCAUCUAAAGCUAAAUAUUGGCGAGAGACCGAUAGCGAACAAGUACCGUGAGGGAAAGAUGAAAAGAACUUUGAAAAGAGAGUUAAACAGUACGUGAAAUUGUCAAAAGGGAGGCGUUUGACACCAGUGUUGUUUUCUCGAAAAUCAAUUAAAAAGAGUUGGAUUUUGUGUUGUAUUGACUUUAUCAGGCUUUCUUCACUCUUUUCCAGCUUUUUUUAAUGCACUUUUCGUUUAACAAGUCAACAUCAGUUUCUUUUGUUGUAAAAAGGUCAUUGGAAGGUGGCUUUCUCUUCGGAGAAAGUGUUUAUAGCCUUUGACUCAUGCAAUCGGAGAGACUGAGGUCUGCAGCGUAGAUCCUUCGGGGUUAGAUACAUUUGUGCUAAGUUAUAGCUUUUCAUAGACAACUUGUUGACUAUGUUUAGUCUUGUAGCUUACUCGCUUAUGCUAUUUUACCUACGCUUAGGAUGUUGAACUCUAUCACACACAG